CUCCAAAUGUUGCUGAACUGCAACUCCCAUCAGCCUCAGCAACCAUGACCAGGGACCAGGAAUGAUGGAAGUUGCAGUUCAGCAAUAUUUGGAG